rnacentral:rRNA from 1 species
UACGUAGGGUGCAAGCGUUGUCCGGAAUUAUUGGGCGUAAAGAGUUCGUAGGCGGUUUGUCGCGUCGGGAGUGAAAACCCAGGGCUUAACCCUGGGCUGGCUUCCGAUACGGGCAGACUAGGAGUGUGCAGGGGAGACUGGAAUUCCUGGUGUAGCGGUGAAAUGCGCAGAUAUCAGGAGGAACACCGGUGGCGAAGGCGGGUCUCUGGGCAACAACUGACGCUGAGGAGCGAAAGCGUGGGGAGCGAACAGG